GAACUUGAGGAAGAAAGUUACUACGUUAAUACAGCUGUGUGCACUGUGGACAAGAGGUCAGCCACCUCAGAUAAGAAGUGUGGCUCCUUCACUCAGUGUUUUCUACCAGUAGCAGUGAGUUGGGUGAUACUGUUGGUAAUCUUGGUCCUUCAUAUCUACUUUACAUCUGUCAUCUCUGAAAACAACAACAAGCUGGCUGACCUCAACAACAAACUCAGCUCAGAAAAUGAAAGAUUGAGGAGAGACAAUGAUGAUAAGACAGUCAUCAUUGGAAACCUGACAAAGGAAUAUAAUUACCCAGAAAUCAAGAAACUAACUGCAGAGAACCAACAACUGAAGACAGAGAAGAACAAAUGAACAGAACAAAUACGAAACAUAGAGAACAACGUUACUGUCGCCCAGCAGAUCAUUGAUGCCUACUGCCCAAUAAAAGACGGAAGUAAGUUCAGAUCUCAUAACUCAAGUCCAAAAAUAACCAAUAAUAAUGUAACAAUGCAGUAAUGUUGUUUAUUUGUUGGUUUCUCUUAUUUCAGACAGACAGUGUAAACCUUUCCUAGAUGGCUGGGAUCA